CCUACGGGAGGCAGCAGUGGGGAAUAUUGCGCAAUGGGGGAAACCCUGACGCAGCAACGCCGCGUGAGUGAGGAAGUAUCUCGGUAUGUAAAGCUCUAUCAGCGGGGAAGAGUGAAGACGGUACCCGACUAAGUAGCCCCGGCUAACUACGGUCCAGCAGCCGCGGUAAUACGGAGGGGGCGAGCGUUAUCCGGAUUUACUGGGUGGAAAGGGAGCGUUGACGGCGGCGCAAGGCUGAAGUGAAAGCCUGUGGCUCAACCGCGGAACCGCUUUGGAAACUGCGAGGCUGGAGUGCUGGAGAGGUAGGCGGAAUUCCUGGUGUAGCGGUGAAAUGCGUAGAUAUCAGGAGGAACACCGGUGGCGAAGGCGGCUUACUGGACAGUGACUGACGGUGAGGCUCGAAAGCGUGGGGAGCGAACAGGAUUAGAUACCCCUGUAGUC
rnacentral:rRNA from 1 species